AAAGCCGAACAUCACAGAUCGUGUUUUGUGUUUCUGCAGAUCAUCAGAUCUCAUCCCACCUCCCAGAGAGCCAAGAACAGCAGGACUAACUCUAUGUGGACUCCAGCACUCUAAUAAUAAAGAGGGAGUUCACCCAAAAGGGGUAAAAAGGACAAGAUGUUGACGUUCAAACAUUCAAAAGUGGGUUGAGUCCCAACCGACGGGUGGAAACACACUCAGUGUGUUAAUGAGCUGAGUGUGAUUAGCAUGCCGUCAGCGAGCUGCUGUGUGUACUGUACCGACGAAGCUCCGACUCCAUGAUUUAAUAACUCCCUGACGGGUCACAGACACCUUCAGCGGGAACAGCAUCUUCCUGUAACAGGUUUAGUGAAUCCACUUUAGAGAUGCUGUUGAUGUCUUUGGGGACUUUUCCACACAACAUCAUUGAUAAAUCAACCAAUAAGCUCCAAUCUGAUGGAAAACUGGGUGGUGUUGGACUCAGCUGGGUCAAAGCUGGGUCAUUGAGAACUUUCACCCACAGAUUAAGACCUGAACGCCAGCGAGUCUGGGAGGAAACCAUAACAUCUGCCACCUGCGGUACCAGAAGAAGGAGUUCUCAUGGACAAGUAGUCAUAACAAGUCAAAACAUAAAGUUUAAGCUUCCUUUUCUUGUUUUGAAUGUUAAAAGUUUAAUCAUCAAUUUGCUCAUUAUAAAUGUGUUUUAAUCAAAUGAAUGACUAUUAUGCUUUGGGGUAAUUAUAAGAGAUUUAAUGAAUCCAUAAUUAGAUAAUGUUGAGAGUGUUUGUUGCUGACCUUCACACACACUCAAGCACACACACCCACACACAGAUUCUCACAGUUAAACUCCAAAACACAUUUGCUGACGCACACGUUUGCUUUGAGAAGAGAAAGGUUUUUGGUAAGUUUCAGUCUUAUGAUUUCAGUUCGUGCUUGACAACGAAAGAGAGAGGACGUGUGAACAACCGCUGAAAGGGGGGGGAGCCGGUUGGCUCGUUUCUUCCCCCCCUCUCUCACGCUGUUCCUGCCAAACCAGGCAGAAUAGCUGAAUCGCAACUUCUAACGCAGACUCAUUACAGAGUCUUUUGAUUUCUGAGUGAAUUAACUUAAGAAAGCGCAUCGACAAAACGCUUUACCAUCAACGUGUACCGAGGGCAACUCUGGAACGGUUCCGUUCGACACCUACGUCUCUCCUGUCAGCCACCAGUGUCAUCUGGAUGAACCAUAACAUCCUCCACGGCCCGGAUCCGAAAGAGGGUCCACAAGAGUUCGGUGAGACAGAGCACGGUGUUUAGCAUUUGAUGCAGUUCUCUGAUAAGGCCUAAGUUUAUCCAAACCAUCACUUCACUCAGACACCUGUUUCUUCCUGAAGCAAAAUCAGAUGCACACACGCAUUCAUCUCACCUCAUGUUCAAUUCUCACGACACUUUGCACACACACGCAUCCAUAACCACAUCCUAUUACUCUCAAUCUUCAUUCACCAACAGAAGGUCUAUUUGAGCAAGAACAGCAUAUCAACUGUUGAAGAUUGUCCCACAAGUUGCCAAUGUUGAUUGUUAUUUCCUGUUUGUCAAUUUCAAAAUCAUUAGUUUAAUUUGAAGAAUUAAAACCUUUAAUUGUCAAACUGGUUUCCUCAUUGAACUGAAACACAGACACACAGAUAUUAUCGUCAGUUUAUCGAUGAAAACAACCUUUGAGUCUUCUUAACAAUAUAACUGAGUAAAGACAGUUUCUCCUUACAAUAUGGCUGAGCCAGCCAAAAUUUUCUUUACACCACUAAAACAAACUUCAAAAGAAAUGACAUAUAUCUACUUAUGUUGCAUCUAGAUGUGUGGUGAGGUGAGGUCUCCUUGAUUAGGUAAAACCCAAUAAGACUAAUUAGCAACAUGCUCUUCUGAUAUAACACGGCAGCAUAUUUCUAAACAAUGUCUCUUUCUGCCCAACAUGAAGCUGUGAACACAAUAUUGGCCAAAAUCAGUGUCACAGUCUUCUAAUUGAGCACUGUGAACAGAAAUGUAUUGGAUUAAAUACAGCCAAAUCUUUUUUAUAGCUUUCUUUAUUUUGGGUUCAAACACUGUAGUCAGUUAAAACACUGGUGCAUUCUUUGCUCAAUAGAAAAUGUGGGAAAAUGAGGAAAUUAGUUAUUUUUUAAAGGGAAAAGUCAUUCACUCAGUAACUUAAAGAUGUAAUGAGAAAGAACGAUUUUCUCAUAAAUGAGGAGACAAAUUUCAAGAAUCAUGAGAUGACCAAUGAAAGAGGAAGGUCAGCCUCCAAAGGGGAAGAAACAAUUCUGCCACAUCGGAUGUUUUAGGGAAACACCGCAGGACGACACCAACAGCUGACCAUCACAAGAAACAACAUGAGAUGUAUUUCACGUCACGUGCAUGCAGUUUUUCAAAAAGGAUCUGGACGCAUUUGUUAAAAUAACCCGUGGUUCUGUUUGUGACCUCGGGCGGACGGGCAGGCUGCUUAGGGGUUUUAUUUAGGUGAACCAUCAGAGUCCUAAGCUUCAUGGAUGAAAUUAAUUUCUGAUUAGCAUGUGAUAUCUUCAAAGUAGGAAUGUAUAUGGACAUUACUCCUUUGGCCCAACUCUUAUCACAAACCAGUAAAGUUCACUGAACACUGCAUUGAUCCAAAUGCCUUUCGGUCCUCGAUCAAUCACUUGUGAACAACACCUUGAGACACCAUAACUAAAGCUGCCUCGGGCUGACCUUCCAGAUGAAGGCUAUCAACAUGCUAUUCAAAAAUCUUUUAUUGAACGGCUGGCAUCCGAUGACGAGAAAAACAGCAGGUCCCUGAAUGGAGGUCAAAGUGAGGCUGGGUCUGCCAGGUCGUUGUGUGACUGCGUGGCAUGGAGAGAGCCACACCACAGUGCUCCUGUGCAAAGUGCAGACGGUCAUCUGAUGACGGUGUCAUUUCAGCCUUCCUAGACUUAUUCACAAAAUAAACUUCCAAUUCCUGCUUCUUGUUUUCUAAAGCCCGCUUCGUGCACAGCCCUUGCAGCUGUCUGACUGGGAACUGUUACCGUCGUAAUGGCAGCGACUCGAAUUCUGGUUAAUUCACCGAAUCGGUCAAUAGAGGUCCAGCAGACAUUUCUGAUGUCAGCAUAUCACGACCAUUUCAGCAGAUCAGCACCUAAAGGUGUCCAUGGACAUUAAUAAAAUUUACAUUUUAUUCUUUCACGGUAUGCCGUGGUUUAUGGAAUUCUAGGGACGGGGAGCGCAGCUGUUUCACGUAACGGUGCGUUUUUCCCGGGCCACUUUAGGAGACCACAAAGUAGCAUGAAUUAUGGGUUCGGCUGCUCGAUUAUGGCAUCAUAGAUCUGGUCAGCUUGUCUCUGAAAGCAAUUUGUCAACAUUUUCUCAACCCAAAGAAUGGCUAAAGUGGAUCCUUUCUGCCCCGAUGGAACACGCUCAGUUGGAUGCAUGAUGGAUCCCUGGGGCGAGUGGAAGAUCCUGUGUCUGUCGCUGCUGUUCUUGGAGGACGUAGAAGAUAUUUGGACUCCUGAUAUCCAUGUUUCUGCUGUUUGGAGCAGGUGAGAUCCUGGUGUGUUGCAAAUUUCAGAAGCUGUCGGAAGCAACUGGCAAGCUACCGGACCUUACGGAGGGUGUGUGUUUUUGCCAACCGUAAGGAGCAAUGGAAGGUAGCUAAGGGUCAUAAGAUAUAGCACUUGGUUGUUCACUUGGCGCAUUUUUGGAAAAAAAUUGUCUUUAAGGGGUUCUAGAAAGCCAUUAGAAAUAGUGACAAAGUUGCAAAGUGGGCAACACUGUAAUGGGAGGUGCGCUAAAUUUUAAACUCAGAGCAGAGUAAUCUGCGAAAGAGGAGCAAAUAAUCGGGUCUUUAUUAAUGGUUGUUGAAAACGUAGAUCGUAAUUGUUACUAAAAUUCUAUUAAGCGACCAGUUCUAGUUGUGGGGAGAUUUCCACUGCGUUUUAUGGUGUUUGGAGUUAAAAAAUGGCAUUUUUAAAUCAGCGUCAACACUGCUUAUGUUCUUCACCAGCUCUUACAGUUUUACAAAUGCCAGUUAGUUGGCGACAUCUGCAGAUUUAAUUUCCAAAUAUCAACCAAUCAGCAUGAGUUAACAACGAGGUUUGCAUUGGUUGGUCCCUAAAAUGGCUCAGCAAAGGGUCCUGUCGGGUCGGCCCAAUGAAACGGCGAAAUGCACAUGCCAUGAAGGUCCGGUAAAAUGACCUGGAAGGUCCAUAAGUGGAAAAAGACAUUUUGUUCUUUAUGUCUUUGCCACAUGAGCAUCUUUCCAGAACUUUGAUUUUCUGGAGUCUAAUGCAAAGAAAAUCUUCCAAUAACAUUAUCAUUCCCGUGCAAAGAUGAGAAGAAAACAUGAGAUGAUGCAGCAACUCCAACAAGACAAACACACAGCAGUCUUUGUGGCACAGAUUAGACGUUGCUAAAAAUACACAUUUCAUGUCUAAAUAAAGACCAAAGCUCACAGGAAAUGGAUCUGAACCUUUUCCGACUGGAAAUAGACAUCAAACGAUUCACUUUGUUACUUGAAUACUCUGGAAAUUAAUCAGGUCUGAUUAAUAAAAGUCAAAUCCUGCAUUUUGUCAAUGCAAACACACACCUAUUAUUCUUUGGUGACACACACAGCCUACCAGGAAAAACCUGAACCACCCUGGGUAAACAAGGAUGUAGUAGUGCAGUACUACUAGCCCCUGAAUGAUGCUUUCCUUGUUUGAAUAUUAAAAAUUAAUUAUUCAUAAAUUUAAAAGGAAUUAAAGUUUUCUGGAACAAUUCAGCUGAGUGCACAAACAGGAAGAUUGCCAGCUGGUGGAUAACUGGUAUCUCCAUGGAAGAGACAGUAAAGUGAAGCUAUGUUUGCACAGAAAAGGUCAAACACUUAAAAAGCAUUGGUAUUUUUUAUGAUGCCCUGAAAAUAAGUUCACAUGACAGAAACCAAAAGAAAACACAUGGACUUAAGGGCUUAAGACGACAAACACACGUGAGUUUGUUUGUGGGUGCCUCACGGGAGCCUAGAAAUGGAUUUUAACCAGAAUAGCAACAAAAUUCAUCGGAAGACUGAUCUGACCCGCAGAUGUUUCGUGGGAAAUGAAAGUGAGAGAAAUGAAGUCAUCUGGAUUUUUACCUGAAAGUCAGCAAAAAUGUUCCAGAGAAAUUUCCACUUGUGUGAUUUUAAAAUAAAAACAAAGGAAAUGAAAUAUUUCCAGAACAUGAGGUGCUUCUGUUGGAACUUCAUCAGCUAAAUCAUAUAAAAGAUGCAGAAUUUCAUCUGAUCACAUCCAGCUGUACCUGACAGCAACAUGGUGACACACACACACACACACACACACACACACACACACACACACACACACACUUACUCUGCAGCAGCUUGCAGCAGUGGGC